rnacentral:tRNA from 1 species
GCGGGGGUGUCCGAGCUGGUCAAAGGAGGCAGGCUUAGGACCUGCUGGCUAAGUGCCUGCGAGGGUUCAAGUCCCUUCCCCCGCA